GACGAGGUGGCCGAGUGGUUAAGGCGAUGGAGUGGUUAAGGCGAUGGACUGCUAAUCCAUUGUGCUCUGCACGCGUGGGUUCGAAUCCCAUCCUCGUCG